rnacentral:rRNA from 1 species
GAUGAACGCUGGCGGCGUGCCUAAUACAUGCAAGUCGAGCGAACAGACGAGGAGCUUGCUUCUCUGACGUUAGCGGCGGACGGGUGAGUAACACGUGGAUAGCCUACCUAUAAGACUGGGAUAACUUCGGGAAACCGGAGCUAAUACCGGAUAAUAUAUUGAACCGCAUGGUUCAAUAGUGAAAGACGGUUUUGCUGUCACUUAUAGAUGGAUCCGCGCCGCAUUAGCUAGUUGGUAAGGUAACGGCUUACCAAGGCAACGAUGCGUAGCCGACCUGAGAGGGUGAUCGGCCACACUGGAACUGAGACACGGUCCAGACUCCUACGGGAGGCAGCAGUAGGGAAUCUUCCGCAAUGGGCGAAAGCCUGACGGAGCAACGCCGCGUGAGUGAUGAAGGUCUUCGGAUCGUAAAACUCUGUUAUUAGGGAAGAACAAAUGUGUAAGUAACUAUGCACGUCUUGACGGUACCUAAUCAGAAAGCCACGGCUAACUACGUG